CUACGGAGGGUGCAAGCGUUAAUCGGAAUUACUGGGCGUAAAGCGCGCGUAGGCGGACUGAUCAGUUGGGGGUGAAAUCCCAGGGCUUAACCCUGGAACUGCCUUCAAUACUGUCAGUCUUGAGUUUGGGAGAGGUGAGUGGAAUUCCUAGUGUAGAGGUGAAAUUCAUAGAUAUUAGGAGGAACACCAGUGGCGAAGGCGGCUCACUGGCCCAUUACUGACGCUGAGGUACGAAAGCGUGGGGAGCAAACAGGAUUAGAAACCCUAGUAGUCC
rnacentral:rRNA from 1 species